UACGUAGGGUGCGAGCGUUAAUCGGAAUUACUGGGCGUAAAGCGUGCGCAGGCGGUUUUGUAAGCCAGAUGUGAAAUCCCCGGGCUUAACCUGGGAAUGGCAUUUGGGACUGCAAGGCUGGAGUGUGGCAGAGGAGACUGGAAUUCCUGGUGUAGCAGUGAAAUGCGUAGAUAUCGGGAGGAACAUCAGUGGCGAAGGCGGCCCUCUGGUCCAGUACUGACACUCAAGUGCGAAAGCGUGGGGAGCAAACAGG
rnacentral:rRNA from 1 species